AACAGAAGUCGACUUGACAAAAAAAAGAAACGAAAACAGAAGUCGGCCAGUCCGACUGUCAAUCCCGAUCGUCUCUCUCGCGCGAUGGUCUCUGGAAGUAGCAAACAAUGAGGUUAUGGAGGUUAGUGGAGUAAAUUGUGACGGCCCAUGGCCAACUAGAAAUGAGAAAAUCUUCAUUUGACUCAUGGACGAGGAGGUCAAAUCAAAGAAAAGUAGAGAAACUGGCACUUUCACAGGAGAAGCUUGGAAAAGGAUUAAGAUUGAGUUGAAAAGGCUAACCACAUACGAUUAUACAAACGAACAGGACUGUGUUGGAGCGAUUGACGGUACCCACAUAUCGGCUAGUGUUCCGGCAUGAAUCAUAGUGGAUGAUACCACUGCAAAGAGCUAGCGGGAGUAGUUCCCAAAAUCCAGUUGAGAUUGAUAUCACUCGUUCCGUCGUAUGUCCAAUGUUAGUGAUCGGAUUGCCAAACAAAUUUGGGCUAGCAUGAAUCAUAGUGGAUGAUACCACUGCAAAUGUAAUUAUCAUUAUUUAAAACUAUGUUACCCUUAUUUGAGGUUUGAACUCAAAGUGAACAUCAUUUGUGUGCUAUUGAUGGAUUUGAGUUUUGGUUUAA